GAUGAACGCUGGCGGUGUGCCUAAUACAUGCAAGUCGAACGAACCCUUCGGGGUUAGUGGCGGACGGGUGAGUAACACGUGGGAACGUGCCCUUUGGUUCGGAAUAACUCAGGGAAACUUGAGCUAAUACCGGAUGAGCCCUACGGGGGAAGAUUAUCGCCAUUGGAGCGGCCCGCGUCUGAUUAGCUAGUUGGUAGGGUAAAGGCCUACCAAGGCUACGAUCAGUAGCUGGUCUGAGAGGAUGANCAGCCACACUGGGACUGAGACACGGCCCAGACUCCUACGGGAGGCAGCAGUAGGGAAUCUUGCGCAAUGGGCGAAAAGCCUGACGCAGCCAUGCCGCGU
rnacentral:rRNA from 1 species